ACGUUGUCCUCUUACAGAGGACACUGUUGGGUUGCAAUACUGUGGUCAAGCAGCUGACAGCCUCCUGUAACUCCCGCUCCACGGGAUCCGCUGCUGUCUUCUAGCCUCCCUGACCACCAGACACUCAUAUGGGUCACACACACAAAUGCAGGCAAAUACUCACACACUUAUUUUUUUUUAUGAGUAUAUAUUGAAAAGUGAAAGUUGAGACCUGAAGAAUGAAAAGGAAUGACCUUAAAACCACAGCCAUAUUUUGACAUUAGCCUAAUUUGAUUGAAUUGGUUAUUUGACAGGUUAGAGUCUAAAUUGUUUUCUGAAGUUUAACAGCAAAAAUUGAGCCUUGGCUUCAAUGGACCUGCUGGGCUCUGCUUCCUACUGCGGAAGGAUUUCUUUGCUGCUUUCACUUAGACGGUAUGAAAAUGAGAAGAGAGAGAAACAGCAGGCUCUCCUACUGUGUGCUUCACAGAAACAUUGAAAACAUCAACGUAAUUGUCUGCUCCUGCCCCCUGUCUAUAGUGUUCCUAUACAGUUCUGUGUGCUUCACCUCAUAAGAGCUCAGAAUUUGGAGCAUUAGUUCCCCGCUUAACUUUUAAAACAGCAUAAACAUAGCUCAAGACCAUGGGAGGGUAUGUUAGUGCCUUACCACAAGCUCCAGAACUGACAGGAUGAAGCAGAGGACGUGGGAGAGCUACAGUGGCUUCGUGUCUGUUGUAGCAUCUCCAUCACUUUAAGUAUAUGAGAUGACAGUUCUGUGCACUGUAAUCUGUGUAAAAUGAGAUUUUAGGUCCAGAAUAAGCUCAAAUUUUUAAGUAUGGUAACUGACCCUAAGAUACACAGAGAUCAAUCCAAGAAUAUGAAUCAUAGCUCUUCCCACGGAAGAAAAUACACUUCUACCCUAAGAUUCCGUGCCUCCUCCCUUUCUAGGAACUGCCUUCCCAGUGAAGCCAAAUGAGAACCGUAUACUUUUAGAGCUCUGGGCCACACUGGCCUUCCUGCUGUGUCUCCCUGAUAACUUAUAUGUGUUCUAACAAAUCUGACCUCCUCCUGUAGGCACUGAUGGCAGUUCCCAUUGCAGCUUCAGUUCAUGGUGAUUCAUCCUUGGAGCUGCUAUGUUGCAUAGACAGGUAGCCAGCCCACUCUGAGCUACCACGUCUACCAAGCACUCUCAGCCAUCUCAGUUACGUGGCCUGAUAGGCACCAUGGUUAAAGCUAUGCUUCCUCUUCCAGAAACGUUUGCAGAGCCAUCUCUUCAGGCCACACAGAUGAAGCUGAAGAGAGCUCGGCUGGCAGAUGACCUGAACGAGAAGAUUGCUCAAAGGCCUGGUCCCAUGGAGCUGGUGGAGAAGAACAUCCUUCCUGUGGAUUCGAGUGUCAAGGAAGCGAUUAUAGGCAAGAGUUCUAGCCUCAGUCUUCUGGGAGAAAGGAAAGCACAGGAGAUUCAGAUCAAACAGAUCUGACUAAGAUGCUAACGUCAGUCAAGGGUGUUGUUUCUGCAUUAGCUAGAAGCUGAUGGGCAUCUAGUGGUUCCUUAUUAUAGAUUAGGAAAUGACCUCUGGUGCAGUUAGUAUGGCCUCCUGUUUUAUGUCAGAAGAAUGUCUCAUGCCAUUAUCACAUCUCUAAGGUAAAUUACUGUAUUGCAACUGUUUCAUUUCUACUCUUUCAGAUUGGUAGGCUUCAUUAUGUCUAUUAGAAAGAUAAUUAGUUUCACAGACAAGGAGAGUGGUCCAUGGUUUCAGUGCACUAGAAGGGAAGUGGCAUCUGUUUCACCACUCUUAACACUUGGCUGCUGCUGUCCAUCGGUUCUGGGUACUUGAACAGGCCUGUGCAUGCACAGCACUCUCCAGCACGGAGGCUCACCCAUGUCACCACUGCACUGCUUCUUUCUAUCAUAGUUGUAGCAGGAAAGAUGAACACUGGGACCCUAGUCAGCAGGUUUUUAUACUGAGACACUAGUUAGUAUGGCUUUUGUACCCCUGAGGACUUCCCACUAAGACCAUGUGAGUUUAAACCGUAGCAGUUUAUAAUAACAAAAUUCUAAAACCGUCAACGCUGAACACCUGGGAAGAGAGCCCAGCAGGGAGGUGUGAGUGUAGUUAGCUGUGCUGUUCUUUGAAAUGGAGGCUGAUUUGCAGAGGCCCCGUAACAUGCCCACUUUCUCCUCUGUUUCCAGGUCAGGGUUUAAAAAAAUAAAGUCUGUGCAUCUCUUAAAUAUUACUCCGUUGAGAGGAGGGUCUUCUCUUUCCACACUUGCCCUGCUGCUAUAUUUUGAAAAGGAGGCUGUGUGCCCUUCAUCCUGGAUCACCCCUCCCUGCUGUGAUAUUCUCCAGUAUCAUCAAGAACCCUCCCCUUCCGUCAGGACUAGAGUGCUGCUGGUGCUCUGGCCCCUUGGCUAGCAAGUACAUCACCCUGGGCCCAUCCCCAGCACCACACAGAACAAAACUAACAACAGAGCACUCUAAUCUCCUCUUCCUCCUACAGCAGGUAGCUGGAUCCAAAGGUUUGAUCUGACUGGAAGAACAUAAAACUCCAAAGAGUGCAUGAUAGCAGUGUGGCUCCCCCUGGGAGAGCCCAGCUUUAAACCACCUCUUUAAACUCUUCCUUCUUGGUGAGCCCCCUGAGUGCUGUGGUUCUCUGUGCAGGUGUGGUGAAGGAGGACUAUCCUCACACUCAUGGCGAGUUCUCAUUUGAUGAAGAUAGCAGUGAUGCUUUGUCUCCAGACCAGCCAGCGAGCCAGGAGUCUCAGGGCUCAGCUGCAUCCCCCAGUGAGCCAAAAGUCAGUGCCUCGCCACCUCCUGUGACUGCAAGCACUCCAGCCCAGGUAAGACCUUCCUAACAUUCUUACAGACUAUGGUAAGACAGUAUUUUCACUAGG
rnacentral:lncRNA from 1 species